AGAGUUUGAUCCUGGCUCAGGAUGAACGCUGGCGGCGUGCUUAACACAUGCAAGUCGAACGGAGUUAUGUUGGCAGAAGUUUUCGGACGGACGCGGAUAUAACUUAGUGGCGAACGGGUGAGUAACACGUGAGCAACCUACCCUUCAGAGGGGGACAACAGUUGGAAACGACUGCUAAUACCGCAUAAGACCACGGUGUGGCAUCACACAGAGGUCAAAGGAGAAAUCCGCUGAAGGAUGGGCUCGCGUCCAAUUAGCUAGAUGGUGAGGUAACGGCCCACCAUGGCGACGAUUGGUAGCCGGACUGAGAGGUUGAUCGGCUACAUUGGGACUGAGACACGGCCCAGACUCCUACGGGAGGCAGCAGUGGGGAAUACUGCACAAUGGAGGAAACUCUGAUGCAGCGACGCCGCGUGAGGGAAGAAGGUCUUCGGAUUGUAAACCUCUGUUGUCAGGGACGAUGAUGACGGUACCUGGCGAGGAAGCCACGGCUAACUACGUGCCAGCAGCCGCGGUAAAACGUAGGUGGCAAGCGUUGUCCGGAAUUACUGGGUGUAAAGGGAGCGCAGGCGGGAGAGCAAGUUGGGAGUGAAAUCUGUGGGCUCAACCCACAAAUUGCUUUCAAAACUGUUUUUCUUGAGUGGUGUAGAGGUAGGCGGAAUUCCCGGUGUAGCGGUGGAAUGCGUAGAUAUCGGGAGGAACACCAGUGGCGAAGGCGGCCUACUGGGCACUAACUGACGCUGAGGCUCGAAAGCAUGGGUAGCAAACAGGAUUAGAUACCCUGGUAGU
rnacentral:rRNA from 1 species